GAGUUUGAUCCUGGCUCAGAUUGAACGCUGGCGGCAUGCCUUACACAUGCAAGUCGAGCGGCAGCGCGGGGGCAACCCUGGCGGCGAGCGGCGAACGGGUGAGUAAUGCAUCGGAACGUGUCCUCUUGUGGGGGAUAACCAGUCGAAAGACUGGCUAAUACCGCAUGAGCUCGUAAGAGGAAAGCAGGGGACCGCAAGGCCUUGCGCGAGAGGAGCGGCCGAUGCCGGAUUAGCUAGUUGGUGGGGUAACGGCCCACCAAGGCGACGAUCCGUAGCUGGUCUGAGAGGACGACCAGCCACACUGGGACUGAGACACGGCCCAGACUCCUACGGGAGGCAGCAGUGGGGAAUUUUGGACAAUGGGGGCAACCCUGAUCCAGCCAUGCCGCGUGUGUGAAGAAGGCC
rnacentral:rRNA from 1 species